AUUGAACGCUGGCGGCAGGCCUAACACAUGCAAGUCGAGCGGAUGAAGGGAGCUUUCUCCUGGAUUCAGCUGCGGACGGGUGAGUAAUGCCUAGGAAUCUGCCUGGUAUUGGGGGAUAACGUCCGGAAACGGGCGCUAAUACCGCAUACGUCCUGAGGUAGAAAGUGGGGGAUCUUCGGACCUCACGCUAUUAGAUGAGCCUAGGUCGGAUUAGCUAGUUGGUGGGGUAAAGGCCUACCAAGGCGACGAUCCGUAACUGGUCUGAGAGGAUGAUCAGUCACACUGGAACUGAGACACGGUCCAGACUCCUACGGGAGGCAGCAGUGGGGAAUAUUGGACAAUGGGCGAAAGCCUGAUCCAGCCAUGCCGCGUGUGUGAAGAAGGUCUUCGGAUUGUAAAGCACUUUAAGUUGGGAGGAAGGGAAGUAAGUUAAUACCUUGCUGUUUUGACGUUACCAACAGAAUAAGCACCGGCUAACUUCGUG
rnacentral:rRNA from 1 species